CGGAGGAACAUGUGGUUUAAUUCGAUGAUACGCGAGGAACCUUACCCGGGCUUGAACUGCAGAUGACUAUUCCGGAAACGGGAUUUCCCUUCGGGGCAUCUGUGGAGGUGCUGCAUGGUUGUCGUCAGCUCGUGCCGUGAGGUGUCGGCUUAAGUGCCAUAACGAGCGCAACCGUUGCCGCCAGUUACUAACAGGUAACGCUGAGGACUCUAGUGGGACUGCCAUCGUAAGAUGUGAGGAAGGUGGGGAUGACGUCAAAUCAGCACGGCCCUUACGUCCGGGGCUACACACGUGUUACAAUGGGGGGUACAGAGGGCUGCUACCCGGCGACGGGAUGCCAAUCCCCAAAACCUCUCUCAGUUCGGAUUGGAGUCUGCAACCCGACUCCAUGAAGCUGGAUUCGCUAGUAAUCGCGCAUCAGCCACGGCGCG
rnacentral:rRNA from 1 species